rnacentral:rRNA from 1 species
GAUCAUGGCUCAGGAUGAACGCUAGCUACAGGCUUAACACAUGCAGGUCGAGGGACAGCAUGACGAUAGCUUGCUAUUGUUGAUGGCGACCGGCGCACGGGUGAGUAACGCGUAUCCAACCUUCCCGUUGCUAGGGGAUAACCUUGCGAAAGUAAGACUAAUACCCUAUGAAGUUCUUCGCAGACAUCUAAAGAGAACGAAAGAUUUAUCGGCAACGGAUGGGGAUGCGU